UCCCAAUGAGGAAAAACUGUCACGUCUUACCAUCUGUCCUGGCACCAGAACCUGCAAAGGUUGAACCCACUGGGGCCGGCAGAAGGAGAGGAGGAAUCUCUGCUCCAGAAGGAACAGUCUGAUGGGAC